UACGUAGGGGGCUAGCGUUGUCCGGAAUCAUUGGGCGUAAAGCGCGUGUAGGCGGUCCGGUAAGUCCGCUGUGAAAGUCGAGGGCUCAACCCUCGAAUGCCGGUGGAUACUGUCGGGCUCGAGUCCGGAAGAGGAGUGUGGAAUUCCUGGUGUAGCGGUGAAAUGCGCAGAUAUCAGGAGGAACACCAAUGGCGAAGGCAGCACUCUGGGACGUGACUGACGCUGAGACGCGAAAGCGUGGGGAGCAAACAGG
rnacentral:rRNA from 1 species